CGUUCUAUAGUUGAUAAACAACGUUAAAUUGCAAAUUUAAAGGAGGAUGAAUGUCCUAGGAUGU
rnacentral:tRNA from 1 species